AUUGAACGCUGGCGGAAUGCUUUACACAUGCAAGUCGAACGGCAGCACGGACUUCGGUCUGGUGGCGAGUGGCGAACGGGUGAGUAAUGUAUCGGAACGUGCCCAGUCGUGGGGGAUAACGUAGUGAAAAUUACGCUAAUACCGCAUGCGAUCUAUGGAUGAAAGCGGGGGGUCGCAAGACCUCGCGCGAUUGGAGCGGCCGAUAUCAGAUUAGGGAGUUGGUGGGGUAAAGGCCCACCAAGCCAACGAUCUGUAGCUGGUCUGAGAGGACGAGCAGCCCCACUGGAACUGAGACACGGUCCAGACUCCUACGGGAGGCAGCAGUGGGGAAUUUUGGACAAUGGGCGAAAGCCUGAUCCAGCCAUUCCGCGUGCAGGAUGAAGGCCCUCGGGUUGUAAACUGCUUUUGUACAGAACGAAAAGGUUUCUACUAAUACUAGGAGCUCAUGACGGUACUGUAAGAAUAAGCACCGGCUAACUACGUGCCAGCCGCCGCAGUAA
rnacentral:rRNA from 1 species